rnacentral:rRNA from 1 species
GACGAACGCUGGCGGCGUGCUUAACACAUGCAAGUCGAACGGAAAGGCCCUGCUUGCAGGGUGCUCGAGUGGCGAACGGGUGAGUAACACGUGGGUGAUCUGCCCCUUACUUUGGGAUAAGCCUGGGAAACUGGGUCUAAUACUGGAUAGGACCAUGCUGUAGGUGGUGUGGUGGAAAGAUUAGUUUCGGUAAGGGAUGAGCUCGCGGCCUAUCUGCUUGUUGGUGGGGUAAUGGCCUACCAAGGCGUCGACGGGUAGCCGGCCUGAGAGGGUGGACGGCCACAUUGGGACUGAGAUACGGCCCAGACUCCUACGGGAGGCAGCAGUGGGGAAUAUUGCACAAUGGGCGCAAGCCUGAUGCAGCGACGCCGCGUGGGGGAUGACGGCCUUCGGGUUGUAAACUCCUUUCAGCCAUGACGAAGCCCUUGUGGUGACGGUAGUGGUAGAAGAAGCACCGGCUAACUACGUG